UAACAAGGGAUCUGCCCUUGAAGAAAUUAAUGACAUCUGGUGGGAGUGAGUGUUCCCUCUCCCAAGACUGGAUUAGUUACCAAGAGAGGCGGUUGCUAUAAAAUAAGGCUGACUCUCCAGUAUGGUAUCUUUGCACAUGCCCGCUUCCCGUUCUGCUUCUCCAUCAUGUUAGGACACAGCACGAGACCCUCACCAUGGUCAUAACAUGAACUCCCCAGGCGCCAGACUCAUGAGCCAAAUUAACCUUUAUUCUUGAUAAAUUAUCCAGUCUCAGGUAUUGUUACAGCAGCAGAACAUGGACUAGGAGAAAGCGCAAAACAAUGUUUAAUUCCUUUCGGAGUUAGAAUAGUUAACCAUUUUUUGCACAUGACAGGCAUUAGCUGUCAUGUUUUAUAGAUACUAGCUCAUUUAAUCAUUUUCACAAGGCUGUUUCCUUCUCAUCCUUCAGGUCUUAGAAAAAGUGCCAGAGCUCAGACUCCCUUAAAAAGUCACCUGACCCAGUUACUCUCUCCCACAUCACCUGGUUUGUUUCCUUGGGGGCUCUAACUCAUCUGUAAUCUUGCUUCUGUCUCUUCUAGUUCCACUAAGUUUCCAAAUCUGGGCUCUGAAACCACUCCAAGAAUUGAUCAUCAGCCUUAAACAAUCAGUUUUCUUUCCUUGUAAUAAACUGAGUUACUCAUCUAAGAAUGUCAACUUUGUCUUACUACCACUUGACUCAGUUAUUUUUUUCCCAAACAAUAGAAAUCCAGAGCCCAAACUGUAGAAAUUGGCAAUUUCCUUAUUUAAAAACUACUGUCCAUAACAAAAAGUCUAUUAACAAUACCCCAAAGCAGUUAAGAUUUCUACCUCAUAUAAAAUCAUAAACAUUUUAAUUCAAAAUGUUGACAUUUAGAAGAAAAACUACAUAAAAGCAAAUGGAUUUGAA
rnacentral:lncRNA from 1 species